rnacentral:sRNA from 1 species
GACGAGAAAGAAGAUGGACACUUGCUGAUCGUUCAUGAGCAGGGGCCAGGAGGGAUCCG